ensembl:lncRNA
CUAGGAAAUAGCAUCCUAAUCAAAUUAACCCAGUCCCAAAGGACAUGCAUGGUCAAGGUCAAGCACCUGAAGACCCUGUGAGUUCAAUAUUGGAAUGGCGGUCUUAUACUUGGAAAAGAUAUUUCAGCAAAGAAUUCUAUUACUGGAUUAUUCAUGGAAUGAAGUAGAACAUUGUGAUGAAAGAAAUAUUUGGUCUGGAAGGCACGCUGUUUUGUAUCUGUUAUUGAAACGUUUUCAUCUUUAACAACAAAUGUUAACAUGGAACAUGUGUGCUGAGGGGUAUUUCAAAUAAAUCUGCUG